rnacentral:rRNA from 1 species
UAGUCCACGCCGUAAACGAUGUGUGCUAGAUGUCGGGUCCAUAGGAUUCGGUGUCGCAGCUAACGCACUAAGCACACCGCCUGGGGAGUACGGUCGCAAGAUUAAAACUCAAAGAAAUUGACGGGGACCCGCACAAGCGGUGGAGCAUGUUGUUUAAUUCGACGCAACGCGAAGAACCUUACCUACCCUUGACAUCCUCAGAACUUGUUAGAGAUAACUUGGUGCCUUCGGGAAUUGAGUGACAGGUGCUGCAUGGCUGUCGUCAGCUCGUGUCGUGAGAUGUUGGGUUAAGUCCCGCAACGAGCGCAACCCUCAUCCUUAGUUGCCAGCAUUUAGUUGGGCACUCUAAGGAAACUGCCGGUGAUAAGCCGGAGGAAGGUGGGGAUGACGUCAAGUCCUCAUGGCCCUUACAAGCUGGGCUACACACGUGCUACAAUGGCGAUGACAGUGAGCAGCUAACCCGCGAGGGCAAGCUAAUCUCUAAAAGUCGUCUC